ACUUUGCACUCUCCUCUAGCGGCCGCCUGUCCUUUUUAAGGAACUCCACCCUAGGUGGAGUCCUCACGAUAGUCACACCUCUCCUUUGGGCCUAGCAGGGCCAGAGAAAGACGGAAUCACUCCACCCACUCAGGUUGCCCAGAGAGCACUUUAGGUUCUGACCUGCGUGGGGCGCGAGGUCCCCCGUGGGGCAGCUAGGUGCCUCCAAGGAACCCCGCCCCAGAGGACCCGCAGGAGUUGCUGCCAUUUUUCGCUGAAGCCCCUGCCCUGGGGCUGGUGUUCUUCUCUAUGAUUCUACCAAUCGUCGGCAUUUUUCUCCUCCCUUCUUUCUUUUUAGGAAGGCGCUGGGGUGUGCGGCGGCAACGGCGGCGGUGAAGGGAUCCUCUUGUGGUAUCUCCUCGUGGGUUCCCGGCUUGAAGGAUUUCUUCUCCGCCUCAACUUUGUGUUCAAGUAGUGCUUUGGGGGUUGGGUUGGUUUUCAUAGCCCCCACCCCCGGCCCUCUCCUUUUAAAGGCCCGGAGAAAGAGGGGAGUGGGGGGCCAAGAACGAGAAGACGGGAGCGCGUCGCCCUGCGCGAUGUCAGAAUGGGGCGGGUGUGAGGGGAGCAGCUCUCUUGCGAUCAGCUCAGGAGUAUGAGCCUCCCGGAGGACGGCAUGAGUUCUGGACACUUCAGGAGUCCUCAGCUAGUGACAUGGUCGCCAAAGUCACAACCAGAGAGAACAGGAUUCGCAAGGCCAACGCUCCCAGAUAUGGAUCAACUCAUAAACAACUUGGAGGUCCAACUUAAUUCAGAAGGUGGCUCAAUGCAGGUAUUCAAGCAGGUCAGUUAUUAGGAAAAUAGGGUACUAAUAUUGGGCCAUAAUAGUAUUGAAUACCUGGUAGUGAUUACAGAAUUUAAACUCAUUGUUCUUUCUAUUACAUGUUUGGGGAUUGAGAAGAGGUGAAGGAAGACAUAUUUCUAGAAAGUAUAUAAAUGCCCUGGUUUCAUGUUCAACUAGGGAGUAGAUCUGGCCUACAAGAAACAUAGCCUCUGGAAUCAAGGCUAUAAAGACAAGAGUAGACCUUUAGUAGACAAUAGCAACUAUUUAUCUAGCACUAUUUCAUAUUUCAGAUAGGAUGAAGAUUAAAUGCAUUGUCUUAUUUAAUCUUCACCAUAAUCCUGUUGAACAGUGUAUUAAUUAGUGUUCUCCAGGGAAACAGAACCAACAGGAUAUAUGUGUAUGGUGUAUGUAUGUGUGUAUGUACAUGGAGAGAGAGAGAGAUUUCAAGAAAUUGCCUCAUUAGAUUGUGGAGGCAUGGCAAGUCCAAAACUCCAUUAGGGGCGGGCCGGCAGCCUGGAGAUUCAGAAGGAGUUGCAGUUUUGAGUCCAAAAGCAGAUUGUGAGAAGAAUUCUUUCUUGCUCUAUGGAGG
rnacentral:lncRNA from 1 species